rnacentral:rRNA from 1 species
AGCAGCCGCGGUAAUUCCAGCUCCAAUAGCGUAUAUUAAAGUUGUUGCAGUUAAAAGCUCGUAGUUGAAUUUCGGGAUCAAGGGAUCGGUCAUGCCUUGGUAUGUACUGGUUUCAUUGGUUCUCACCUUCUAAAGAACCAUGAUGUCAUUCAUUUGAUGUUAUGGGGAAUUAGGACUGUUACCUUGAAAAAUUAGAGUGUUUAAAGCAAGCUUACGCUUGAAUACAUUAGCAUGGAAUAAUGAAAUAGGACGUUCGAUCCUAUUUUGUUGGUUUCUAGGAUUGACGUAAUGAUUAAUAGGGAUAGUUGGGGGCAUUAGUAUUCAAUUGUCAGAGGUGAAAUUCUUGGAUUUAUUGAAGACUAACUACUGCGAAAGCAUUUGCCAAGGAUGUUUUCAUUAAUCAAGAACGAAAGUUAGGGGAUCGAAGACGAUCAGAUACCGUCGUAGUCUUAACCAUAAACUAUGCCGACUAGGGAUCGGAUGAUGUUAAUUUUUAAUGUACUCA